GUUUAAAAACUGUUUUCCAACAGUAUGGCAAAGUGCGCUCGAUGACAAUAGCAAGAAAAAAAGAUCCGAAAAAUAAUGAACUGAAAUCAAUGGGCUUUGGAUUUGUUGAAUUUUAUACGCCAGAAGACGCUGCCAAUUUAUUGAAAAAUGGGUCUAAUAUAAAAAUUGAUGGGCACAUUUUAGAGUUAAAAUUAUCGCAAAAGAAUUCACGGCCUAAAAGGAAUAAAAGGAAGUAUGCCUCUCAGAACGACAAACUGAAAGGUACUAAACUUUUGGUGCGAAACGUUCCUUUUGAAGCUUCAGUAAAAGAACUGAGAGAACUUUUUGGAACUUUUGGAAAAUUGAAAAGUGCUCGAAUUCCUAAGAAGUUUGACGGAAGCCACCGCGGUUUUGCAUUUGUCGAGUUUGCUAACCAACAAGAAGCGCAAAAUGCCUUUGAAGCACUUGCAAGCACGCAUUUUUAUGGGCGUCAUUUGGUAAUUGAAUGGGCUAAAGAUGACAGUUCUCUAGAAAAAAUUCGCGCAGAU